ensembl:lncRNA
AUGAACGCUGCCUCACAGGUGAGGAUGAGGAUGAUGUAGCAGUCACAGGGGCAGGUGAUGAACUUUUCCUCACAGGUGAGGAUGAGGAUGAUGUAGCAGUCACAGGAGCAGGUGAUGAACUUUUCCGCACAGGUGAGGAUGAGGAUGAUGUAGCAGUCACAGGGGCAGAUGAUGAAUGCUGCCUCACAGGUGAGGAUGAGGAUGAUGUAGCAGUCACAGGGGCAGGUGAUGAACGCUGCCUCACAGGUGAGGAUGAGGAUGAUGUAGCAGUCACAGGGGCAGGUGAUGAACUUUUCCUCACAGGUGAGGAUGAGAAUGAUGUAGCAGUAACAGGGGCAGGUGAUGAACUUUUCCUCACAGGUGAGGAUGAGGAUGAUGUAGCAGUAACAGGGGCAGGUGAUGAACGCUGCACAGAAGACCAAAGACACAAAAAAAAUACCACAGAUGUAAACAAAAAGUAAAUAUAAAUGCUUGCUUAAUUCAAAGUGCAUUGAUUUAGUUUAAGGGCAAGACAAAUGCAUUUGGAACAAAUAAUGUUUAAAACACAAAAGGGAGGAGAAAAUAAUGUAGAAUAAUCUUUUGAAACACUGAUAAUAAUUUUAAAUCUUUUAGUUACCAAACAACUAUACAAAGCUUUUGCAAAAAAAGCUUGAAAAGCUUGAAGAGUUCUAUGUACAGAACAUACAGAAAGACAGUCAGAUAUCAAUACGACAACAGAUUUGAGAAAUGAGAGUACCUUGGCUUGCCAAUCCCAGUCUCCAUAGCUGUAAGUAAUCUCUUCUCCUGGUUUAAUGUC